ensembl:lncRNA
UUUUUUUUUUUUCUUUUUUGGCCAGAACUGACAUAUAACAUGGGACCUUUUACUUCCUAAAUAUACUAUAAUUUAUGAAGUAUAUUUAAUAUCUUUUGUACAAUCUUUGGACAAAAAUGAAGUAAAAAUGGGAAAUAUUAUGUUACUAUACUUCCCCUCUAAAACAAAUUUAAGGCAUGUGUUCACUUCCAAAAGUAGAAAUUUUUAGUUUAUUGCUAUGAAUAUUUAGUAGUCUCUGCAUUUCCAAUGAUGAGUAAUUUGUCUGAUGCUCAUUUGGGCAUUCAUAAUAGCAGAGGGAUAUGGAAGUGAUGUGAAAGCACAGAGAAUCCAUCAUGUGUUCAUGAAUAUAAAUCAUUUUCAUUCCCAAAUUAGUCAAUUACAAAAUAACAUUUACAAAUCAAUCAAAUAUCUCCUAAGUCAAUUAUUAGAUUUUAAUCCCUUACCUACAUAAACCAUUCAAAGGAGGACCUCAUCUAUGGAAAGAGCUAGGAGUUUUUCAUUAUAAGAUUAGCAUUUUCCUUGAGUCAGCAAUUCAUGACAUCUUCCAGAUUUCUCUCAAAGCUAUCCUUUUAAGAUGAAUCCAAGGAAAAAAGAUAAAUAUGGACAUUUUAAAGAACCCUGCUAUCUCUACCAUCAAACUUCUUUUUUCUGAAAUAACUAUGCCACCUCCUUAAGGAGUCAGAACCAAAACAUGGCGAUAUAGGGGUUGAAUGAUUAUAUUCUAAUGAAGUAACGCUGUUUGAUUUCUGACUUUUUUAAUUUCUCAUUUUACAUUUCUAAGUGGCAUGAAGGAAAAAGCUCUUUCAUACAUACAGAAUAAAAAUGAAUUGAACUGAAUCCUGAAAUUACCAAACCACUCAAUUUCCUAAGACACAGCUGAUCAAAAAUAGCAUAUUCUGAUUUCUUAAAAAGAAGAGGGUGAGAUAUGAAUUUAAAAAGCUCUAAAAAGCUCUAAUAUGUGCAUGUAUGUUUAUGUAUGCAUCUAUAUACGGAGAUGUACACUUUUUUUGUUUUUUCUUUUUACUGCUCCACCUGCUGUAUAUGGAAGUUUCCAGGCUAAGGUCAAACUGGUGCUGCAGCUGCCAGCCUACACCACAGCCACUGCAACACUGCGGCCUGUGCCACAGACUGUGGCAACUCUGGAUCCUUAACCCACUGGGUGAGGCUAGGGAUUGAACCCACAUCCUCAGAGAGACAAUGUCGAGUCCUUAAUCUGCUGAGCCACAACAGGUACUCCAGAGACAAACAUCUCAUGGUUCUGUUUUCUGGAGAAUACUGGCCUAAAUACUAUUUCAUGGUAAAAUAAGGAUGAAAGGAGACGUUCCAUAUGGUGCUAGAAUAUUAUAGGUGUUUAAUAAAUUUUAGUUUCUUGACCCUUUACUCUCCCCCCGCCAAAAAAAAAUUACAGGAAGUCCAUUCAUAAGGCAAGUUUUGAAAGCAAAUUGGCUUUGUCCUCCUAGUUUUGUAGGAGAAUCAGGGAAGGGAGUAGAGAGAACGUCACCAAGGAUGCACUCUCCCACAGGGAUGGAGAAAUAACUGCCUGGGACAUAAAAAUUAAAAUCCAGUGUGUCGUUAGCUAUCAUUUGGCCCAGAUCUGGUCCUAGGCUGGGUGUCACUCCACCAGAGAAGAAUGCUCUUUGCCCAGCUGGAGGCAUUUUAAAUGAGAGCUGUGGGCCUGGUUUCUGGAAACCAUCUCACAUCAAACCCAGAACCAAACUGUGUUUCACUUCGGCUCUGGUAUCUAAAAAGCAGGUGGAGAAAAAGAAUUCAAAAAUAACUCCAUCAGAAGAAGCACUAUGAAAUGAGGCUAUGCUUUUUCUCUGUCACUGAAUGGGAUAAAAAUAAUGCCAUACCUUACAAUAGCAUCACCACUCUUGAUCAGAAUUUCUAAGGGAGAAAGUUAAACCAAAGUCAGGUAAGUUAUAAAGUUGAUGCUAUUCUCAUAAGUAAACUGACCGAGUCUUAUUUCUCAACAACCGAGCAUGAAAUGCACUCUCAUCUCUCUCUAGACUAUCUGACAACCUUCUGCUAUGGGUUAAACUGCUUUUACCUGGAAAGAUGUUACAUUUUACGAUUGCUGCUUAAGUAGAUAUAUCAUGAACUUUACCAGGCAAGCUAAACCAAUUUAAGACUUUAAAAUUUUGGUGGUCCCCCAAAUGCAUCGAAAAGCCAUUUGCAAAGAUGUGUGUCUAGUAAAUCUGUGAGGUACAGGUAUACCCAUGCUCUAUUAGAACAUAAAUUGGACAGAUCUUCCUGGAGGGCAUCUUAUACCAAAGUGUGUGUAUCUUUUGAUUUUGUGUUUUCACUCUGAGGAAAUGACCUAAAAGAAAUAAUAAGACAAAUAGGCAAAGAUGUAUUCAAAAGAAUCAUGACAGUGAUGUUGACUGUAACAUAAAUAAUGUCAACAUAAUGAUGACUCAAGAAGGCUAAAUGCACAAUGAUCAUUCCCACAGGAAGUACUCUACAACUACCACAAAUGAAUCAUGCAAAGCUCUUUUAUGUCCACAUUAUACUAGGCAGAAAAAGGAAGAUUUUGAGUGUGCUACCAUUUUGCUUUUAACAAAAAUACUGCCUGUAUAUAAAAUUCAGAAGAAUAGAUAUACACAAAGAUGAUAAAGUGUUAUCUCUGGAUUGUUAGAUGAAAGGAUAUAUUAUUUUUUUUUUCUCUCUUUCUUUUCU